ensembl:lncRNA
CCUUGCGAUCUGGUCCCCCCACCAGGUCCAAAGCCAGUACCAGCACCACCAGGCCCAACUCCUCCACCAGGUCCAAAGCCGGUACCAGCUCCACCAGGCCCAACUCCUCCACCAGGUCCAAAGCCAGUACCAGCUCCACCAGGGCCGACUCCUCCACCAGGUCUAAAGCCGGUACCAGCACCACCUGAGCCGACUCCUCCACCAGGUCCAAAGCCGGUACCAGCACCACCAGGGCCGACUCCUCCACCAGGUCCAAAGCCGGUACCAGCGCCACCUGGGCCAACUCCUCCACCAGGUCCAAAGCCGGUACCAGCGCCACCAGGACCAACUCCUUGACCAGGUCCAAAGCCGGUACCAGUGCCACCAGGCCCAACUCCACCACCAGGACCAAUACUGGAACCAGCUCCACCGGGGCCAACUCCUCCCCCAGGCCCAAAGCCAGUUCC